rnacentral:rRNA from 1 species
GUGGGGAAUCUUCCGCAAUGGACGAAAGUCUGACGGAGCAACGCCGCGUGAACGAUGACGGCCUUCGGGUUGUAAAGUUCUGUUAUACGGGACGAAUGGUACGACGGCCAAUACCCGUCGUAAGUGACGGUACCGUAAGAGAAAGCCACGGCUAACUACGUGCCAGCAGCCGCGGUAAUACGUAGGUGGCAAGCGUUGUCCGGAAUUAUUGGGCGUAAAGGGCGCGCAGGCGGCGUCGUAAGUCGGUCUUAAAAGUGCGGGGCUUAACCCCGUGAGGGGACCGAAACUGCGAUGCUAGAGUAUCGGAGAGGAAAGCGGAAUUCCUAGUGUAGCGGUGAAAUGCGUAGAUAUUAGGAGGAACACCAGUGGCGAAAGCGGCUUUCUGGACGACAACUGACGCUGAGGCGCGAAAGCCAGGGGAGCAAACGGGAUUAGAAACCCUUGUAGUCC